CCGGGUGGCAGGUGUCAGCGGCGUCUGCAUUCGGCGGCGAUGGAGCGGCCCCGGGGAGCUGCGGACGGCCUUUUGCGCUGGCCCCUUGGCCUCCUCCUGCUCCUGCAGCUGCUGCCGCCAGCCGCCGUCGGCCAGGACCGGCUGGACGCGCCGCCGCCUCCCGCGCCUCCUCUGCUGCGCUGGGCCGGUCCGGUCGGGGUGAGCUGGGGGCUGCGCGCCGCCGCGCCCGGGGGCCCUGUCCCCCGCGCUGGCCGUUGGCGCCGCGGCGCGCCUGCAGAGGAUCAGGACU
rnacentral:lncRNA from 1 species